rnacentral:rRNA from 1 species
CCCUUAGACGUUCUGGGCCGCACGCGCGCUACACUGACCAGUGCAACAAGCAUCCGUCCUUGGCCGACAGGCCCGGGCAAUCUUUGAACGCUGGUCGUGAUGGGGAUAGACUUUUGCAAUUUUUGGUCUUCAACGAGGAAUUCCUAGUAAACGCAAGUCAUCAACUUGCAUUGAUUACGUCCCUGCCCUUUGUACACACCGCCCGUCGCACCUACCGAUUGAAUGGUCCGGUGAAGCCUGCGGAUUGGCGCGCACCUCGGUGCCGCCGAGAAGUUGGCUAAACCUUACCAUUUAGAGGAAGGUGAAGUCGUAACA